CACACAAUCACCUUUCAUUCACUAACGCUCACAUUUUAGGUGCUUUUCCUUCUUACAUAAUAAAAUAGCAAAGCACAUAGGCCUGGGGUCCCUGGGGAAAGCCAAGUCUGCCUGGCUGCCUUGAGAACUCUGGACUGGAUUUGACAUGGAGGAGUUGGGGAUUGUUGCUCAGGGAUCAGAACAGUGAAACUCAGGUUAAUGAGUAAAGAGUGAGAAUAUGUGUUUGUAUGUUUCUUAAUCCCAUCUACUAGGUGAUUACAAAACUCAUUCAAAGUUGAACACAGUAGAGGUAUUUCAAGUUGCUUUAGAGAGAGAAUUACACACACACAAAAAAUCUUUAGGAGCCAGACAACCACUGUGGACACCAAUAAGAGAGCUCCAACAUUGGUGAGGUAUAGACCCGUCAAAGUUGUUGGUAAUAACAGCAAGGUCCAUCUGGCAAGAUUGGUCACCUGUGGUGGAAGUGGUGGUGACAGCAGGGAUGCAACUGCAGCAAUCAAUGAUGAUGAUCUCACUAGGGUGGGGAGGUGUUAAAGGCAUCUUCACAGCAGCACAGUGCCCAGAAUGCCAAAGAGCAGCAGGAUGGAUCCAGCAUCCUCUCCUGAUAAAAGAGGGCUAGAAGACGGGAGGCUCCGGGAAGUCUACUGGAGUCAUGAAGACACUGAAAAGUGAUGAAUCCACAUAACCAUGACACUGGAAAUGAAGUUUGAGUGGCAGUCAGAAUCUGGGAGGAAGCAUUGCUAAGUGAAAAUCUUAUGGAGCUUGACUAAAAAUCCCUGUCAGGAACCGUCAAAAGCUGUGUCCCUGACAUGAAAAAUCUUGCUGGAAGUUGAGAGAGGUUUAUGCCUACUCCGUGAUCCGGGAACACAAGACCUUUACCAACCAAAAAAGUGGAUAGCUGUUCUUCUGCUGUGAAGGUUAAUAAAGGGAUGGAAAACAAACUGAAACUGGCUCAAGUGAAUGCUCACUGGAAGGCUUACUGGAAAACUUACUGGAAGGAUGUGAGGACAUGUUCGGGAAUCUAUUUGCAGAAAACAUAUUCAGCCCUGUCCACCACAGCCAGCUGGCUGAAGAGCUCAAAAGGCAAGAAAUCAGCAAGAGAGAGAGAUGAAGCAUGAGAAAUGAGCAAAAAACACCCAGCACAUCAUAAUCUUGGACAGUUUAGCAGUACAUGAAAAUAGAUGGUCCUCGCCCCAAGGGACUGCAGUAACCCUGAAUAAACAGGAUGUCUCUCACUUUUAGCAGUUCUUUCUGUGCUAGUAUUGGGGAAAUAUAUUUUUGGCUGCAUGCAAAAUGGUAAAAGACAUCUAUUAAGAAAAUGAAAACAAUGCUUCUGUUUUAGACGAAGCUUUUGAAGGUUUAAGGAUCACCUAUUUAUUGACAAAAUUGUUUCCGUGGCUUAAAAAUAAAAUACAAACAAAUACUACAGGUAUUCUUGCCUUCUCAUUCUACUUAAAAUCACAUUUCCAAAGACUUUCUUCUCUACUUAAAAACAGGAAUUAAGAAAUACUCAAAAGAGAUCCUAGACAAAACUAACAUUUCAGCAACCAAAGAUAAAUCAUGCUUUUAGAGGAAGAUGCUAGGUUCUAGAAUCUCUCUGAACACCGUGUAGCACUAAGAAACUACAAUCACUGGCUGAGACCUUGAUCAAAUAAUGGCUAACAUAUAAGAUGCUUAUUCUAGUCAGGCACACUUCUAAGAGCUGUAUAUCUGCUAAUUCAUUUAUUCUCCUAGGAUAUAAAGGAUCAGCAGAUCCUUCAGGCUCUGGUAUGUUCUGAGAUGAGUUAACCCAGAAAUUGUCAUCAAAAGACAGAUUCAGCAAAACGGAAA
rnacentral:lncRNA from 1 species